CGAAUUCGCCCUUCCUACGGGAGGCAGCAGUGGGGAAUAUUGGACAAUGGGCGCAAGCCUGAUCCAGCCAUGCCGCGUGAGUGAUGAAGGCCCUAGGGUUGUAAAGCUCUUUUGUGCGGGAAGAUAAUGACGGUACCGCAAGAAUAAGCCCCGGCUAACUUCGUGCCAGCAGCCGCGGUAAUACGAAGGGGGCUAGCGUUGCUCGGAAUCACUGGGCGUAAAGGGUGCGUAGGCGGGUCUUUAAGUCAGGGGUGAAAUCCUGGAGCUCAACUCCAGAACUGCCUUUGAUACUGAAGAUCUUGAGUUCGGGAGAGGUGAGUGGAACUGCGAGUGUAGAGGUGAAAUUCGUAGAUAUUCGCAAGAACACCAGUGGCAAAGGCGGCUCACUGGCCCGAUACUGACGCUGAGGCACGAAAGCGUGGGGAGCAAACAGGAUUAGAUACCCUGGUAGUCCACGCCGUAAACGAUGGGCGCUAGGUGUGGGGGCCAUUCCACGGUCUCUGUGCCGCAGCUAACGCAUUAAGCGCCCCGCCUGGGGAGUACGGCCGCAAGGCUAAAACUCAAAGGAAUUGACGG
rnacentral:rRNA from 1 species